AAACUACGUUAAACGGUGUGAAUUGCAGAACACGCAGAACACUGGAACUUUGAACGCACAUGGCAGGUUAGCGUUAAAACUAACCUUUGUCUGUGUGAGGGUUGUAAACGGAGAAUGAAGGCUAAUUUUUGAAAAGCGGGGAGGUUGCCUGUUAAAUGUGUGACAUGCCCGCUGAUGACAAUAAAACACACUCGUGUUGCGCCUCUGGCCUGCGUCGGAGGAUAACGGCAACUGGACGAGUUUCCUUUGUAUCUCACAACCUCACAUCAGGCAAGACUACCCGCUUAAUUUAA
rnacentral:misc_RNA from 1 species